AAAGGACGCUGUGGCAGGAGGUGCAGAUGAGGAAGGACCAGCAGCAUGGACAGGACAGCUGUUAAGGUCACUGAUGGAGAGAGACAGGUUGAUGAUGACUCUUGCAGUCAUAUUGAUGAGGAGGAGGAAGGAAAGCAGAACAAGAGGAGGAGGAGAAUGGAACCAGUACAAAAACAGUGAUGGCUGUACAAUCAGUAAGCAGAGGCAGGGUCCAGCACAGGGGAAGUGGAGCCAGGGAGAGUUGAAAGUGAGUACGUACACACACAAUCUCUAUUUUAUAGGACUGUAUUGUAGUUUUUGAUUAUCUGAGUGGGUAUGUGUGAGUAAUUGUAACAAUUUUAUCACUCCAACUGACUGUACACAUGACAUGCUGGU